UGUCACAGGUCAGGGCGGACCCGAGAUAGCUAAAGGGUCACGCCCCUUUCCUAGGUUCCACCACGAGGAGGUUUCCAAAGUCACCCCAAUGACCAGACACACAAGGCAGUACAAGUAUGGUGCAGGCUGCUGACUGGGACACAGAAGAUCAGUUAUUUAUAACUGCUGGUUUCUCUCACCUCUCCAAACUUGGGAUGACGUACAGUAAGUACUGUGCAGGUAAAGUUUUCCUCGUGCUCUUUCUCUCUCUUCAUAGGCUGCUGACUGGGACACAGAAGAUCAGUUA